rnacentral:lncRNA from 1 species
GCUUAUCGAUUUUGUUGUUAUCCUUCCCUUGUUUGAGGUGCCAAAAGAACAAGAGCACUGUUGCGGAUGAAGGUUUACUGCCCUUGACAGCUUCUGUGCUCAAAUCACAACAAACGUGGCAACAUGACGAAAGAACAUACUCAGCGUUUGCAACAGCUCAGCAGGUUUAUCAUCCGUUCCAGUUCUUUGUUUCACUCGUACAAAGAUCUAACAAGGGCAUCAAAUGACGAGUGUCAUAU